GAUGAAGAACGCAGCGAAAUGCGAUAAGUAGUGUGAAUUGCAGAAUUCAGUGAAUCAUCGAAUCUUUGAACGCACAUUGCGCCUUCUAGUAUUCUGGGAGGCAUGCCUGUUUGAGCGUCAUUAAACCUCUCUCAAGUAUGAUUACUUGGAUGUGAAGGAAGAGUACCUUAAACUUUAGGAGUGUUCUCCUUUGAAAUUGAUUAGCAGAUGGUAAUGUUAUUAAAUCUCUGAUGUUGUAAGAAAUAACAGUGGUUUUGUAGACUAUUAUCUAGCUUUAAAUUAUAAUUUUUAUUAUGGUUGACCUCAAAUCAGGUAAGGAUACCCGCUGAACUUAAGCAUAUCAAUAAGCGGAGGA
rnacentral:misc_RNA from 1 species